ACCAUCACAAAAGACCCCUAAAUCAUACAAGUGUACGGACCAUAGGGGUCCGCCCUAGAGAGCAGGUCGCUACACAUAAGCUGUAGGACGACCGUACAUUAUACAGGAAGACUUGCCGUUCGGGAGUCUAGGACAGCGGGUGAUACCUACAGGUGAUAGCCAGGACAGCGGGUGAUACCUACAGGUGAUAGCCAGGACAGCGGGUGAUGGGCUAUAGGUGAUAGCCAGGACAGCGGGUGAUACCUAUAGGUGAUAGCCAGGACAGCGGGUGAUACCUAUAGGUGAUAGCCAGGACAGCGGGUGAUACCUAUAGGUGAUAGCUAGGACAGCGGGUGAUACCUACAGGUGAUAGCUAGGACAGCGGGUGAUACCUACAGGUGAUAGCCAGGACAGCGGGUGAUACCUAUAGGUGAUAGCUAGGACAGCGGGUGAUACCUAUAGGUGAUAGCCAGGACAGCGGGUGAUACCUAUAGGUGAUAGCCAGGACAGCGGGUGAUACCUACAGGUGAUAGCUAGGACAGCGGGUGAUACCUAUAGGUGAUAGAUAGAACAGCGGGUGAUACCUAUAGGUGAUAGAUAGGACAGCGGGUGAUACCUACAGGUGAUAGCUAGGACAGCGGGUGAUACCUAUAGGUGAUAGCUAGGACAGCGGGUGAUACCUACAGGUGAUAGAUAGAACAGCGGGUGAUACCUAUAGGUGAUAGAUAGGACAGCGGGUGAUACCUAUAGGUGAUAGCCAGGACAGCGGGUGAUACCUACAGGUGAUAGCUAGGACAGCGGGUGAUACCUACAGGUGAUAGCUAGGACAGCGGGUGAUACCUACAGGUGAUAGCUAGGACAGCGGGUGAUACCUACAGGUGAUAGCUAGGACAGCGGGUGAUACCUACAGGUGAUAGAUAGGACAGCGGGUGAUAACUAUAGGUGAUAGCCAGGACAGCGGGUGAUACCUACAGGUGAUAGCCAGGACAGCGGGUGAUACCUAUAGGUGAUAGAUAGGACAGCGGGUGAUACCUAUAGGUGAUAGCUAGGACAGCGGGUGAUACCUACAGGUGAUAGCUAGGACAGCGGGUGAUAC